UUUUCACAAAAACAACCAUGGUCUUCUCUUCAUACAGCCACACAAAAAUAUAAUUUUAAAUCUCAACCUUGCUAUUUCAGGCAGCAAAAAUAUACUCCCAAAUGCCAAUACUGUGAUCAACUUGGCCAUGUUGCAAAACACUGUCCUAAGUUACACACCAGGAAGGCUACAGCCCACUGCAUCACCGCUUCUUAAAGUCUAGAUCAGCGUUGGCUCAUUGACUCUGCUGCAUCGCAUAACAUCAUCUCUCAAGUAUCCAAUCUGCACUUACACUCUGAAUAUGAUGGCAUGAUGAAGUGCUCAUUGGAGAUGGUUCAGGAUCAAUAGACGAGAAAGAUUCUUCUUCAAGGACCAUGUGAGAAUGAUGUUUAUCCUCUACCUCAUCCCUCUGUCUCCACUCCUAUUGCAAUGGUUCAUGAAUGCACGUCUAUAAAUGGCUAGCAUCAGCGCCUAAGCCACCCUUCCUCAAAAGUUAUAGAUAAAAUGAUCUCCUCAUUUUCUCUUCCAGUUUCUAGUAAUUCCUCUAUAUCUCAUUUUUGUGAUUCCUGUUCUAUUAAUAAAUCUCAUCGCCUGCCUUUUCAUAAA